UACGUAGGUGGCAAGCGUUGUCCGGAAUUACUGGGCGUAAAGGGCGCGUAGGCGGCUUGACAAGUCACUUGUGAAAUCUCCGGGCUUAACUCGGAACGGCCAAGUGAUACUGCAGUGCUAGAGUGUGGAAGGGGCAAUCGGAAUUCUUGGUGUAGCGGUGAAAUGCGUAGAUAUCAAGAGGAACACCUGAGGUGAAGACGGGUUGCUGGGCCAACACUGAUGCUGAGGCGCGAAAGCCAGGGGAGCAAACGGG
rnacentral:rRNA from 1 species